UACGUAGGGGGCAAGCGUUGUCCGGAUUUACUGGGCGUAAAGAGCGCGCAGGCGGUCGUUCAAGUCGCGUGUGAAAGCCCCCGGCUCAACUGGGGAGGGUCACGCGAUACUGAUCGACUCGAAGGCAGGAGAGGGAAGUGGAAUUCCCGGUGUAGUGGUGAAAUGCGUAGAUAUCGGGAGGAACACCAGUGGCGAAGGCGACUUCCUGGCCUGUUCUUGACGCUGAGGCGCGAAAGCGAGGGGAGCAAACGGG
rnacentral:rRNA from 1 species